rnacentral:rRNA from 1 species
CAGCCGCCGCGGUAAUACGUAGGGUGCAAGCGUUAAUCGGAAUUACUGGGCGUAAAGCGUGCGCAGGCGGUUAUGUAAGACAGAGGUGAAAUCCCCGGGCUCAACCUGGGAACUGCCUUUGUGACUGCAUAGCUAGAGUACGGUAGAGGGGGAUGGAAUUCCGCGUGUAGCAGUGAAAUGCGUAGAUAUGCGGAGGAACACCGAUGGCGAAGGCAAUCCCCUGGACCUGUACUGACGCUCAUGCACGAAAGCGUGGGGAGCAAACAGGAUUAGAUACCCUGGUAGUCCACGCCCUAAACGAUGUCAACUGGUUGUUGGGUCUUCACUGACUCAGUAACGAAGCUGACGCGUGAAGUUGACCGCCUGGGGAGUACGGCCGCAAGGUUGAAACUUAAAGGAAUUGGCGGG